rnacentral:rRNA from 1 species
UACGGAGGGUGCAAGCGUUGCUCGGAAUUAUUGGGCGUAAAGGGCAGGUUGGUGGUCUCGUUUGUCUGGGGUGAAAGCCUUGAGCUUAACUCAAGAAGUGCCCCAGAAACGGCGAGACUAGAGUACUGGAGAGGGUCGUGGAAUUCCCGGUGUAGCGGUGAAAUGCGUAGAGAUCGGGAGGAACACCAGCGGCGAAGGCGGCGACCUGGACAGUUACUGACACUCAACUGCGAAAGCGUGGGGAGCAAACAGG